rnacentral:rRNA from 1 species
UACAGAGGGUGCGAGCGUUAAUCGGAAUUACUGGGCGUAAAGCGUGCGUAGACGGUUAUUUAAGUCGGGUGUGAAAGCCCCGGGCUCAACCUGGGAACGGCAUCCGAUACUGGAGGGCUUGAAUUCGGGAGAGGGAUGCAGAAUUCCAGGUGUAGCGGUGAAAUGCGUAGAUAUCUGGAGGAAUACCGGUGGCGAAGGCGGCAUCCUGGACCGAGAUUGACGCUGAGGAGCGAAAGCUAGGGGAGCAAACGGG